rnacentral:rRNA from 1 species
CCUACGGGAGGCUGCAGUGGGGAAUAUUGGACAAUGGGCGCAAGCCUAAUCCAGCCAUACCGCGUGGGUGAAGAAGGCCUUCGGGUUGUAAAGCCCUUUUGUUGGGAAAGAAAUCCAGCCGGCUAAUACCUGGUUGGGAUGACGGUACCCAAAGAAUAAGCACCGGCUAACUUCGUGCCAGCAGCCGCGGUAAUACGAAGGGUGCAAGCGUUACUCGGAAUUACUGGGCGUAAAGCGUGCGUAGGUGGUUAUUUAAGUUCGUUGGUAAAGCCCUGGGCUCCACCUGGGAACUGCAGUGGAUACUGGAUGACUAGAAUGUGGGAGAGGGUAGCAGAAUUCCUGGUGUAGCAGUGCAAUGCGUAGAGAUCAGGAGGACCAUCCAUGGCGAAGGCAGCUACCUGGACCAACGUUGACACUGAGGCACGAAAGCGUGGGGAGCAAACAGGAUUAGAUACCAUAGUUGUC